CCUACGGGGGGCUGCAGUGGGGAAUAUUGCACAAUGGGCGCAAGCCUGAUGCAGCCAUGCCGCGUGUGUGAAGAAGGCCUUCGGGUUGUAAAGCACUUUCAGCCGGGAGGAAGGCGUUAAGGUUAAUAACCUUGUCGAUUGAUGUUACCCGCAGAAGAAGCACCGGCUAACUCCGUGCCAGCAGCCGCGGUAAUACGGAGGGUGCAAGCGUUAAUCGGAAUUACUGGGCGUAAAGCGCACGCAGGCGGUCUGUCAAGUCGGAUGUGAAAUCCCCGGGCUCAACCUGGGGACUGCAUUCGAAACUGGCAGGCUAGAGUCUUGUAGAGGGGGGUAGAAUUCCAGGUGUAGCGGUGAAAUGCGUAGAGAUCUGGAGGAAUACCGGUGGCGAAGGCGGCCCCCUGGACAAAGACUGACGCUCAGGUGCGAAAGCGUGGGGAGCAAACAGGAUUAGAUACCCCAGUAGUC
rnacentral:rRNA from 1 species